rnacentral:lncRNA from 1 species
UGUUAUUUUGAGUAUGGUUCAGUGGCAAUACUGUCAAUGGCAUUGUUGUUUAGGAGUUGAAUGUGUUAUACACAUCUUCGAAACGACAGUGAUGUAAUAUACCUUGGAAGAAAAAGCAGAGAACAAGGUUAGGAUGAGAAAAUUCUGUUUUGCUCCCGGUAGGAUGAGAAAAUUCUGUUUUGCUCCCAGAGCUUUUGCCACGAGCUCUUGGAUGAAUAAAGAUGUGAUUGUAGUUAUUUUGGAAAUGAUGUUGAUCUUUAUGGGUUAUGACCGACAAUAAGCUAUAUAAAAGU